GGGUCCGUAGCUCAGUCUGGCAGAGCACCGGGCUUUUAACCCGGCCGUCGUGGGUUCAAAUCCCACCGGACCCG
rnacentral:tRNA from 2 species